CAGUUCACUACCAAUACCCAGAUAUAAGAGCAUGACAGAAGAUAAAGCAGGGAGAAAUGAAGGUGGAAAAAAGGUCUCCCUGCUCUCCAACAAGUGAGCUUACCCAUCACACAAUGGCUUAAGAAUCACCUGUGGACAA
rnacentral:lncRNA from 1 species